rnacentral:rRNA from 1 species
GUGGGGAAUAUUCCGCAAUGGACGAAAGUCUGACGGAGCAACGCCGCGUGAGUGAUGAAGGUUUUCGGACUGUAAAGCUCUGUUGUUUAGGACGAAAGUGCCUGUUGCAAAUAGUUACAGGUAUUGACGGUACUGAACGAGGAAGCCACGGCUAACUACGUGCCAGCAGCCGCGGUAAUACGUAGGUGGCAAGCGUUGUCCGGAAUUAUUGGGCGUAAAGAGCAUGUAGGCGGGAAUCUAAGUCUGUUGUGAAAAUGCGGGGCUCAACCCCGUAUUGCGAUGGAAACUGGGUUUCUUGAGUGCAGGAGAGGAAAGGGGAAUUCCCAGUGUAGCGGUGAAAUACGUAGAUAUUGGGAGGAACACCAGUGGCGAAGGCGCCUUUCUGGACUGUGUCUGACGCUGAGAUGCGAAAGCCAGGGUAGCGAACGGGAUUAGAUACCCUAGUAGUCC